UCUCCGUAGGUGAACCUGCGGAGGGAUCAUUACUGAGUGAGGGUUUAACCGCCCGACCUCCAACCCUUUGUGAACACAUCUUGUUGCUUCAGGGGCGACCCUGCCGUCCGCGGCUGAGCGCCCCCGGGGUCAAUCAAACACUGCAUUCUCUGCGUCGGAGUAUUAGUAAAUCUAAUCAAAACUUUCAACAACGGAUCUCUUGAUUCUGGCAUCGAUGCAGAACGCAGC
rnacentral:misc_RNA from 1 species